rnacentral:rRNA from 1 species
UGGGAACUGCAUUUGAAACUGGUUGACUAGAGUUUUGUAGAGGGUGGUAGAAUUUCAGGUGUAGCGGUGAAAUGCGUAGAGAUCUGAAGGAAUACCAGUGGCGAAGGCGGCCACCCGGACAAAGACUGACACUGAGGCGCGAAGGCGUGGGGAGCAAACGGGAUUAGAUACCCCGGUAGUCCACGCAGUAAACGAUGUCUAUUAGAAGUUUGUGGCUAUAUGCCGUGGGUUUCAAAGCUAACGCAUUAAAUAGACCGCCUGGGGAGUACGGCCGCAAGGUUAAAACUCAAAUGAAUUGACGGGGGCCCGCACAAGCGGUGGAGCAUGUGGUUUAAUUCGAUGCAACGCGAAGAACCUUACCAUCCCUUGACAUCCAGAGAAUCACCUAGAGAUAGAUGAGUGCCUUCGGGAACUCUGAGACAGGUGCUGCAUGGCUGUCGUCAGCUCGUGUUGUGAAAUGUUGGGUUAAGUCCCGCAACGAGCGCAACCCUUAUCCUUAGUUGCCAGCACGUAAUGGUGGGAACUCUAGGGAGACUGCCGGUGAUAAACCGGAGGAAGGUGGGGACGACGUCAAGUCAUCAUGGCCCUUACGGGAUGGGCUACACACGUGCUACAAUGGCAAAUACAAAGGGUUGCUAACCUGCGAGGGUAUGCGAAUCUCAUAAAGUUUGUCGUAGUCCGGAUCGGAGUCUGCAACUCGACUCCGUGAAGUUGGAAUCGCUAGUAAUCGUGGAUCAGAAUGCCACGGUGAAUACGUUCCCGGGCCUUGUACACACCGCCCGUCACACCAUGGGAGUGGGCUGCACCAGAAGUCAUUAGCUUAACCUUCGGGAUGGCGAUGACCACGGUGUGGUUCAUGACUGGGGUGAA